rnacentral:misc_RNA from 1 species
GUAAAAUAACUAAACUGAACUGAUAGUACUUUCAAUACAGUAACAUAAAAAAUGUUAACAGACGAAACUGUCAAGUGUUGAUUAUUAUUAUGAUUGAGUGUAUAUGAAUGAUCAGUUAACAGUUAGCAUUUUUGAUUGAAGAGGUCUCAUUAUGCUGAACUUCCAUGAUGAGAUAUGAUUGUUGACAAUUUCCGGUUAAUCUAAGAUGAUGAGAAAUGGCCCUUCCAUCAAAUGAACAACAAAAAGAAAAUCCAGAUCCAGAAAGUGGACAUUACAUAACUGUCAUCCCUGUUGAUUAUCAAAGAAAUCGGGGCUUUCCUCAACCUCCUGAUCAAUACAGUGAUUUCAAAACAAUAGAAGGAGACUUCAACAGACCGGAUGUUGUAAAAGCUGGAUCAGCCAGUGAGAAUAACGAUAAUCUUCCUUCAGAAGUAUACAAGCCAUUAACAGAUGCCAGUGGCAAGUUCAGUAAAGAAUAUGAGGAUAACGCAAUCAAUGCUCAGUGGGAGAAAGAGAAAAACCAGCAAGAGUCUCACUCUGAACCUCCAGUACAGUCGCUCAAGGUGUGUAUCUACCUGAUGUCUGAUGUGGCCCUACACAUGGAACUGGAAGAUGGAGUGAACACAAGUGUCAAGGAGUUGGUGCAGGCCAUUGUCACGGAGGAACAGCUGGGUCUGCCCCGCUCGGCCGCCAACAUCUUCACACUCUGGAUGUGCUCUGGACUACUUGAACUUCGCUUGAAGCCACACCACCAACCUUUCACUGUGAGAGCGAAGUGGCCAGAUUUGCUGGCCAAGUACGCUCAUGCCACUGAGUCACGACAAGGUAGAGAUGAGCCGGUCUUAUCUUUCCAGAGAAAUGUGUUCGUGCCAAGAUUUGUGGACGAGAGGGUCAAAGAAGCAAGAGUGCUAGAUCUGCUUUAUUGCGAGGCAAGGUACAACAUCCUGGAGGGUAGAUAUCCUUGUGAGGUUGGACACUUCAUCAUGUUGGGCGGUAUCCAAGCCAGGCUGGAACUGGGACCUUACAACCCCCACUUACAUACCAUACACUUCUUCAGAGAGCAGCACAGCAGGUUUCUGCCUGUCCACAUGCGGCGGGGAGCUUGGCGCUCCUGGCUAGGACUCAGUGGCAAGAACUCGCCUGAAGUGCGCCUUCUCGAGCACUACAAGCGCAUUCCUCCUGCUACCCCUGAUCGGAAACUACAACGCAAGUACCUCGAAUUCUGCUGGGCCUUGCCUUACUAUGGGUGUGCAUUUUUCCAAGGACAAGUAGAACAGCCAGUUCGAGGUCUGACCUCUCUCAUCACCCACCAGGAUAUCCCGGUACUAGUUGGUAUCAACCCUCAAGGCGUCUAUGUCAUUGACAACAUCCAAUGUACAUUGCUGUUGGGUCUCAAGUUUGAAGAAAUGUCUUGGGACUUCGCCAAACCUUCACAGGAAGAUAAUCCAGACUGCUUGCCAUGUAUAUUUAUUCAGUUCAGAGUCGUUGAAAAUGGAAUGAGAGUUUCCAAGAUUUUACAAGUGUUUUCAAAACAGGCUGUAAUGAUGGAUGCUCUGAUCUCGGGUUUUGUGGAGGACAUCAAGAAGAAGACGGCAGCAGCCAAACCAGCCGGAGACGAAACGGACAGGCCUCCAGUGUAUGAUACUGCCACAGACAGUGAUGAUACACAGAUGCCUCUAACCAUGGUGACUGGAGCUCGCAGAGAUGUGCCUCAGACAUGCCUGGGCAACAAACUCAGCAAGUUAACUUUGGCCACAUUCGAUGAUGAAGAAACGAGGUUGUAGCUGGCUAUGGCAUGACUCUCACUUUGCACCGUGUUGCUAGUAGUAUUCACAGUCGAUGCAUAGGUCAAAUGGGAUCAUGGGCAUUCAGCUACUGAAGACAUCAAGUGAUUCUAAUUGUGGCAGCUUCUCAAAGCUCUGGGCAGCAUAUUGAAACCAAUGAGACUUGAUGGUUUUGUAAAUGUUUCCAUCAGAUGUUACAAAAAACUCAGUAAUACAAACACAUUAAGCUACUAGAAAUGUAUAGUAAGAAUGUUAGCACAGUAAGUUAUAAUCAAACAAUUGAUUCAGUUAUAAUAUUCAUUUAAAUAUCACAUCCAUCUAGUCUUAAUUUAGUUACAAGUAUUAUAGGUUUUUUAUUAAGUGAAUUGGUAAUUUACAACGUUUAUGUGAUAAGUUAGAUCUGUUUUCUUUAUUAUUUAUUUUUAAAAUAACUUGCAAAACUCAUUUCCAAUUAAGUGUAUUAUGGCCAUAAACUCAAAUAGUGAAAUAUGUAGAAUUUAGUUAAGUACCAAUGAACUAAAUAUAAAUAAUUAACUCUUAUAUGAGUACUGAUAUAAACAAGUAUGUAAUUAUGUCUUCAUUAUAAAGCAUCCCGAUACGGAUUCUAAAAUUUAGAAUCCGUAUCGGAAUGCUUUAAUGCAUAUAUUAAUUUUGUAUAUGUGAUAAUUUAACAUGUUAUGUUUGUGAUAUUUAUAUAUAUUUAUUUAUUUAUUUAUAUUUUUCAAUAUAUUGAAAACACUUCAUUUGUACCUUUUAUAAUUAUUGUGAUUAAGAAGUGUAAUUGUCAAGUUGCUGCCAUUAUUCAAUUAUAGGCAUACUAAGAUAGUCUGUAUUUACUUUUGAUUAUUAUGUAAAUAAUCUUCCUGAGUGCAACUAAUAUUUUAAAUCUUGCUCUUUAUAUUUAAUUAUUGUUAUAUAAUCAACCAAUUUUCUUAAACGUUAGAUUCAAAAGAUUUUUCUUCUAUUUUUGUCUGCAUAUCUAUUAUAUGACAAGCUCCAGAUCUUUUCAGUUUAUUACGCAUAUGUACAAUCCAUUUUACAAUAUGGUAUUGUCACAUUGGGAGGGGCUUACAAAACGAUAUUGGAACUAUUAAAUGUUAUACAAAAAGAAAUAAUCAAAGCAGUGUUUAAUAAACAAAGGCAUUAUUCACCUACUUUGUUAUUUAGGGAGACUAAUAUUUUUUUAAAUUAAGCAGUUACUUAUUAGGACUGUACUGGUUUACGUCUUCUUUCAUAAAGAUGUCGUCCUUAUCUCCAUCGCUCACAAUUACCCGACCAUGAACGCUGUGAGUGUGGGCUUGCAGUUUACUGUCACGUAAACUUACCAAUGUUUACUGUCACGUAAACUUACCAAUGUUUACUGUCACGUAAACUUACCCAUGUUUACUGUCACGUAAACUUACCAAUGUUUACUGUCGCCAACAUGCUGUACAGACACGCCCUCUGUGAUAAGAGACCUGCAGGACGAGCCUGUUAAUGGUUUUCAAGCGGCUGGUCACUGCCUGAAUUUGAAUGAUCUGUCCGGACAAUGCUGAAUUUCUCCUCACCCCCACUAAACAUUACCGCUAUUAUAGUUAACUACUUCUUAUUAUAACAAACAUAUGCAAUAUCGUAUUCCCAAAACUUGUAAUUUCUUUUUGGAUUUUUUAUCAUUUUUUGGCAUAUUUUGUUUUAGGGUUUUGGCACUUAACGCUUUCCAGUUUGCUUCCUGAUGGUCAUAAAUCCAAACAUUUAUACAUUCUGACUCAUUCGCAUCACUUAUGUGACUUCUAAUGUACACAAUGAACUAAAAUAAGGCAAUACAGAUAAUGUAUGCCACAUUUAGUGCAAUUCUGAUGGUAUGGACAAAUCCAUAUGCCAAGCAUUAGGGUUUAAUUCUUAGUCGUUACAGGUAAAAUCAAUGAAUAGUCAACCGUUUCAAAUUCAAGUGAGGACAUACUUGGUUAGAAGGGCUUUUUACAAACUGCAAGAGACUUUUGAGUGGAUAUGUAAGGUUAGCCGCACAAAAAUUAAUCAUUUUAUACAUUUUAAACUUAGUUUUUUACUUUUCUAUGAAUUUUAUUUUAUUUUAAGUAUUUAUUUUGUGAUUUUAAGCUUACUUUAGGAUUUUGAUGGACUUGUUCGCAUUCAGAAUAAAUUUUACAUAUUAAUAAAUGGCUUAUAUAAAAUCUUCCCAAAAAUCAAAAUGCUGGAUUAUGAAUUAACUAAGAAAAUAUUUAAAAAAUUAUUGACCAUUUAUAAGUUAUCUAAAAAAUAUCAGUUUUGAAUACCAUUUUGAAUACAGAUUUUUUUGUGAAAUGUAAAAUAUUGUACUGGUGUAAAUUAUUGUGUUGGAUGUAAUUUCAGAUAGAAAAAUCCCAUGAAACAAACAAAUUUAAAAAAAUUAGAUUGACAUCUUAAAAAUAUAGAAUUAUCAUAAAGUAAUAACACGAUAGUAUUAGUAUAAUUUGCUAACAAAUUUUCAAGCAUUGACGUUUGUAGUCCAUUUUUCAAAUAAAGUAGAAGCGAGGAUAACUGAGUUCUGAUUAUUCCAGAUACUGAGUUAAACAUGUUUAAAAAAUCAAGAACUUUUUAGGAUAUGUUUAGAAAAUUACAUUGAGGAUUCCAGGUUUGAUUUUGAUAUGUGGGGAGCAAGAGGGGGCUACACUGCAGUGCUGUGUUGUGCCAUUUGCAUUGUUCUACUGGCCAUCUUUAGUUCAAGCAGUAACUUUACGAGGUUAGAAUGAGCCUAUUGGUUACAACUGAGUAGUAAGUCAAGCUUGCUCAUUCCCAUGAAAAGAAUUUGAAAAGUUGUUUAGUGACAACCAACGAGUAUAUAGCCAAUAUGAACCAACAAUAACAUGAAGAAGAUGAUACAGACGAAAUCCUUUCUAAAAUUUCUCAUUCUGGUAAGUUGAAAAUAUUGGAAGCAGUUAUAGGUUACAUUGAACAGCUAGAACAUAGCAGUGCUCAUGACAAAAUGUUUCUUCAGCAUUGGCUCAACAUUGAGGCAAAGAAAGCAAGCUUAUGAAAAGAAUCAGUCAAGGUCCUUUUCUUUGCAAGUAAACCCAUUUUUAUUAAUCAUUGUUAUAUUUUUCUGUAAAUAAAAUUAUUUUAUUACAAUUUUCCCAUUAGCCAAUGUUUUGCCGUAUCUGAGGUAAUCCCAAUUGCCAUUUAGCUCAGUUAACCGGACUUCUAAUGUAUUAAUAUAAAAAUCCAAAAACUAAAUUAAAAUUUUAUUUUAUACUAUUUUCAGCCUUAUUUUUCCUUUACAUCAUCAACUCUUCAGCUGAUAAACUGAACGGAGAAUUAUCAUUGUUGCAACAACAUUGAAUAAGAGUAGAAUGGAUUCAUGUAUAGUUUGGUUUAUUAUCUCAAUUAAUCAAGCUAAUUUUUUUUGUUCGUAAAAAUGUGUCAUUGUUACGAAUUCUAGUUUUAGAAACUUUAUUUAUCAUUCAUUAUGCUUCGUUAUCUAUUUGUGUAUUAUAUAACUUUCUAUGUUUUGUUUGUUAGUUGUUUUUAUAUUAAAGAAGGAUUUGAAAACA